rnacentral:misc_RNA from 1 species
GAACGCACCUUGCGCCCUUUGGCUAUUCCGAAGGGCAUGCCUGUUUGAGUAUCAUGAACACCUCAACUCUCAUGGCUUGCCGUGAUGAGCUUGGACUUUGGGGGUCUUGCUGGCCUAUGGGUCAGCUCCUCUCAAACAAAUUAGCUUGCCGGUGUUUGGUGGCAUCACAUGUGUGAUAACUAUCUACGCUUGUGGUUUUCCACCAGGUAACCCCCAGCAAUGGAGGUUCACUGGAGCUCAUAAACGUCUCUCCUCGGUGGGGACAGAUUUUGACCGUUUGAUCUCAAAUCAGGUAGGACUACCCGCUGAACUUA